AGUGAACGCUGGCGGUAGGCCUAACACAUGCAAGUCGAACGGCAGCACAGUAAGAUCUUGCUCUUACGGGUGGCGAGUGGCGGACGGGUGAGGAAUACAUCGGAAUCUACUUUUUCGUGGGGGAUAACGUAGGGAAACUUACGCUAAUACCUCAUACGACCUACGGGUGAAAGCAGUGGAUCUUCGGACCUUUCGCGAUUGAAUGAGCCGAUGUCGGAUUAGCUAGUUGGCGGGGUAAAGGCCCACCAAGGCGACGAUCCGUAGCUGGUCUGAGAGGAUGAUCAGCCACACUGGAACUGAGACACGGUCCAGACUCCUACGGGAGGCAGCAGUGGGGAAUAUUGGACAAUGGGCGCAAGCCUGAUCCAGCCAUACCGCGUGGGUGAAGAAGGCCUUCGGGUUGUAAAGCCCUUUUGUUGGGAAAGAAAAGCAGCAGGUUAAUACCCCGCUGUUCUGACGGUACCCAAAGAAUAAGCACCGGCUAACUUCGUG
rnacentral:rRNA from 1 species